UUUGAUUGAGCAAGGAGACAGAUCCUUUUUUGAGAAACUCGAAGAGGAACACCCCUGCCAACAGCUCCACUCUAGCCUGGUCAGACCUGCCCUGGACCCUGACCUACAGUACGCGGUCUGUGUGGCUGAAGCUGCUGAUUUUGUUAUGACAGCAAUAGAAAACUAAAAACAGUGCUCGCUAAAUGCAUCCUGUUAAAAUUAAUUUGUUUUUUUAGGUCAAAUCAGUAAAACUCUAGGGUUUAGAAUGAGGUAGGUAAUAGUUCCGGUGACUCUGCUCUGGUCAGACUUCCACGGUAAUUCUGAUGGUGCUACAGGAAACGUGAGCAGCCAGAAUCAGGUGAGGCCCAACGGCCAGGCCAAUGAGAAGCAACCAGUCACCACGCCUGCGAGUGCCAGUUGCCUAGCCUCAAGACAAUGACAGGUCGGGUAGGAAUGAAGUCAUCAACUAACCUGCAAGGUCGUCAUGUGAAAGAGGGUCUAGCCUUACACUCCCACGAGUGGAGGUUACACAGACAGACUGUGACCUAGCAUCAGAAGAACAGUUGGACCGUUUAGCAAGAACGGCACGGGCCCCUCAGGAGAUGCUUCUCUGUCAAGCACAGAUAUCACUGCUGGAAAAAUCACACUUCUGGAUAUUUCCUGACUAUCUUCACUGUCUGAGUGUUCCUGUAAUUGCAAUUUCUUUGUCAGUUUCCAGAAUGGUGAACAUGCAAUUUUGCUUCAAGUGAGAAGCAGGAAAUGUAUUGGAAUGUUGGACACCCACCAUGGCUCAAAACAGGAAAGCUUGAGAACAUCGUAUUUUUGACCAAAUGAGACAAUCAAUAAAAUAGGUCUAAGAAGCUCUAAAACUGA